rnacentral:rRNA from 1 species
CGGAGGAUCCAAGCGUUAUCCGGAAUCAUUGGGUUUAAAGGGUCCGUAGGCGGUUUUAUAAGUCAGUGGUGAAAUCUGGUCGCUCAACGAUCAAACGGCCAUUGAUACUGUAAGACUUGAAUUACUUGGAAGUAACUAGAAUAUGUAGUGUAGCGGUGAAAUGCUUAGAGAUUACAUGGAAUACCAAUUGCGAAGGCAGGUUACUACAAGUGGAUUGACGCUGAUGGACGAAAGCGUGGGGAGCGAACAGGAUUAGAUACCCUGGUAGUCCACGCCGUAAACGAUGGAUACUAGCUGUUCGGUGCAAACUGAGUGGCUAAGCGAAAGUGACUAAGUAUCCCACCUGGGGAGUACGCUCGCAACGAGUG